rnacentral:lncRNA from 1 species
UCUCGAGUACUGAUCAUCGAUAAUGGGCACUAGUUCACAAGGGCUAAGUUCGAAGCAUUCUAUGAGGAGCAUGGGAUUGCACAUCAUUUAACUUCUGUCGCCCAUCUUUAAGCUAAUGGUGAAGCCACAGUGACAAUCAUACUUGUUAGCCUAUUUUGCAAGUGCACGAAAUCGCUCAAGUAAUAUAAUGAUAAAUAAGAGAUCGUUCCCAUGAAGACUG